UUCCGCAGUAGCUCAGUGGUAGAGCUAUCGGCUGUUAACCGAUCGGUCGUAGGUUCGAAUCCUACCUGCGGAGCCAUGGCUCCUUGGUCAAGCGGUUAAGACACCGCCCUUUCACGGCGGUAACACGGGUUCGAGUCCCGUAGGAGUCAUAUA
rnacentral:tRNA from 1 species